AUUUCAUGCUAACGAAGCUAUGGCCACUGGUUCAAUUCCUGCUCCACCUGGCUAAGGAUCAAGUUGUCGUAGGAUUCCCCAGUGUAUCAAGUCUGCUCUACUGGGGAAGCAGAAGUUGGACCUUUGAGUGUGGGAAGCUUUACAAGUAUCCAGGUGGGAAACAAAACAGACACGGAACAUGGAGAUACAAGCAAAUGAAAAAAAAUCAGUUCUAUAAAGGGAAAGAUAUGCUACCGUGGAGAACAUGAGGCCAUCCAAGUACAGGUACAGGGGUAGGACAAGAGACCACUGUCCGGCUAGAGUCUGGCUGCCCUGCUUCCACCAGUCAAUCCAGACUAGGCGAAGAAGCAAAAUGGCACCACGA